GACGAACGCUGGCGGCGUGCUUAACACAUGCAAGUCGAACGGAGUGGCGAACGGGUGAGUAACACGUGGGUGAUCUGCCUUGCACUUCGGGAUAAGCUUGGGACACUGGGUCUAACACCGGAUAGUGCAAGAUGAGUUAGCGGGCUAUCAGCUUGUGGGUGGGGUAAUGCUCUACCAAGGCGUCGACGGGUAGCCGGCCUGCGAGGGUGUCCGGCCACAUGGGGACUGAGCUAGGGGCCAGACCCCUACGGGGGGCAGCGGUGGGGAGUGUUGCACAAGGGGCGGAAUCCUGAAGCAGGGACGCCGCGUGGGGGAUGAAGGCCUUCGGGUUGUAAACUCCUUUCGACAGGGACGCGGUACCUGUAUAAGAAGCACUGGCUAACUACGUGCCAGCAGCCGCGGUAAUUC
rnacentral:rRNA from 1 species